CCUGUCUUAGGUGGUUCUGGUCUACCCAGUUCAUUACACGGAUCCCAUCUAUGACCUCUCACACAGAUGCUCAAGUCACCUAUCUUGCCCUUUAAGCACCUUGAAUUUGAAACUAACUUUUAGGGCAAGAAUUUUAGCUACCAUGGGAACUUUUUGCUAUCUGGUACUCCUUAUGCCCAUCUUGCUGAUACUAAUGUACCGUACUUUUUACAAGUGGUCCUCAUAAAGUCGAGAAAACUGGUUUCAUGCUAAAAAUGUGGUUUUUAAACAAUGAAUUCAACAUCUACAGGCUUUUUUUUUAUAUUUGUAUAAAAAUCUCUAAGGCUCCAAGCUCAGGUUGAUAAAAAGACACCAGCAUUUUAACCUGAAACCUUUCCUAGCUGUUUAACACUACAAAGGGAAGACUUAAUAUUGUACACUUUGUCAUAAGCCCACUGCAAAAGUAGAAGCGUAAUAGCCUUUUGCAUGCUAAGCAAACACUACCACUGGGCUACAUCCCUAGCUCAUCACAGCAUUUUUAUAGAGCAAAGGGCUGUUCACAUGCUUCAUAAUUUUUUGAAAGCAAAUGGUUCCUUUGUCUAACACACAAAAGCUGAAAUAAUCUCUACUCAAACAUUAGGAUAUACAUAAUCUACAUAAUGAAUGUAUUAAAGCUUUGUACAUUCAAUUUAGGUUUUUGACACUUUGUUGAAUAAACAAGUUUUAUUUAUAAAUUUAGUCAACAUACAUAAUUGACCUAAAAACUUCAAUAGGAUGAAUUAAAAAACCCCUUGGAAGGCCGGCUCUAUAAAAGGGAUUUUCCCAGGACAGUAACCAGAUGUGACCUAUCCCAACACCAUCUUAAUUGGCAGAGAUCCAAUAGGCUGAGCAGUAUGCUCCUCCUCCACAAGUUCACACUAACUCCACAAGGAGAAAAACGAACCUUGGUAUUGUUUCCUCUCAGUAGAUCAAAAAAAAACUAAUUAUGAGACCAACCACAAUACAAUGAAAAGCUGCACUUAACUAGAUUAGUAACAGAUGAUGCUGGUGUGAAUUAACUUAUUAUUCUAGAGCCCUUAUAAACAAAAUCCCCCAGUUAGUGUUUGCAUUAUCAGCUAGAGGGUUAGUUAAUGUGGUAGAAUGAGGACUUAUGCAAGGUAUACACAUAGCAUUUCACUACUAUAUAGAAAACAAGUGCAGUCUAGUCAGGAAAAAACCAACUGGAUUCUAUUACACACACCUUAAUGACAAGACUUCCCACCACUUGUGAAUGUAAAACAUUUAAUUUAAAAAUGUUGACACUACAAUAUAUAAAAUAGCUAUUAUAAAUGCACAUAGUGUAUUCUAUAGCUGCCAGGUUUACUUUUUUUUUCUUUUAAGGAAACUGUAAGUUACACUGUG